rnacentral:rRNA from 1 species
UACGUAGGGGGGCAAGCGUUGUCCGGAUUUACUGGGCGUAAAGAGCGUGUAGGCGGCCAGAAAAGUCCGCUGUGAAAACUCGAGGCUCAACUUCGAGCUGUCGGUGGAAACUUUCUGGCUAGAGUCCGGAAGAGGAGAGUGGAAUUCCUGGUGUAGCGGUGAAUGCGCAGAUAUCAGGAAGAACACCCGUGGCGAAGGCGGCUCUCUGGGACGGUACUGACGCUGAGACGCGAAAGCGUGGGGAGCGAACAGG